rnacentral:lncRNA from 1 species
AUUCUAGGCAGUGGGGAUGCAACGGUGAAGCCGAGGACAAGGCCCCCAUGCGAAGGAAACAGGGAGCAGAUCUGCAGAGAUGAAAUGCCAGGGUUGGCCGGGAAUUCCAUACCCGACCUGAAUCCAUAUCUACCGGACCCCACAUCCGCCGUCCGACCCAAUGAGGGAGAUAAUAGUUGGCACCGGGUGUGAAUGACCUCAUCAACAUCCUUCCGCCUCUGAGAGAAGAGCUGCUGGAGACUCCUGGAUGUCUGGCCCAAAGCUGGAGGCUCUGAAAGGGCUGAGAGAUGAUUUGGAAGAUACCAUUUGACUGCUUUUUACUGACGUGACCAUAUGUCUACCCGGAGAUUGGAGACCUUGGACAGCUGGAGACCAAUGAAGACAAGAGAGCUGCUCUUUGUGUGACGCAUUUCCUCACCCAGCCGCAGAUUGCAACAGAGGAGAUGAGAUAAAGAUGAGGAACCUCAACAGAAAGGAUGGAUGUAAACAGUGGGUUUGCUGUGCAGUGACAAGAGCCCAGCUUGGGAAGGGUGUUGAGUGGGGUGAAGAUGUCACAGGAACUCACGAAAGCCAGAGGAGUUCACAGUUCAGAGAAGGUCACCUUUAUUGAACUGUUUUCCUGUUGGCCAUCCCUUCUGGGCCCCAAGUUCUGCAUUUGCAGCAUCUGGCACAGUGCUGGGCACAUCCUGAGCUUGAGAAAAGGUAGGUGAACCAAGAAAUGCAUGAAUGAAUGAACAAGGGGUCCGAUAAUGGCUUGUGGGUAGAUGGAUUCUUUGUGGAAGUUGGGAAAAGGCUGAGGCAUCCUGAGAUGGAGAGGAAUCUGAGAGAGGAGAAGGAUGCAGGAGUGGUGGUUGACUAGCCCCUCACCCCAUGCCGCCUCCUGCUGACUCACAUGCCUUGGAACUCCCGGGCUUUGCAGCCUCCUAUCCCGGGCCCCUGGCUCUCAGCCCUCCUUUCCGCCUGUCGGCCACUUAAUCACAUACAGAAGAAGUAAACUCCCCAAGGUCCCUGUUGUGUGGUCCUCUCCUCAAAGUCUGUUUCCCCACCUCGAUUUCUGGAAGUCCCUUUGGAGGAUCUGACAGACAGUCUCCCUUUCCCACCCCUCCAGCUGGACAGGCUCAGGAAACAGAAGGAGUUUUCUGGGAACAGACUGGAGAGGAGGAGCCAGUUAAAGUGACAAAAGGCACAAGUUUGAACUUCCUGUGUCCUGCGCCUGCUGCCGGAGCAGGGCUCUGAGCUGCCUCCAGAAUGGCCCACUGGUCAUGGGGGAAGUAAGAGAGAUUUGCUCACAGCAGGGCAUUUACUUAUAAGCUGGCCCACCCUGGGAUUUGGCCUCGAUGGUGGACAAUCUCCCUGCAUAAGGAAACCCUCUGCAGGGAACUCUUCCAAGGGAGAAGGAGACCAGCCAGACAAGCCUGGCCCGGGAUCAAAGCUCUGGGCCUCAGAGGGUGGGCUGAGUCGAGGAUGGGCUGGAUCUAACUUCUGGGUCAGCGCCAUGAGCAGCGCAGACCCAGCAUGACAGCGGGAUUGGGGGGGGCAGCACCCCUCCUCGUUGGCUCUUGGAACCUGGCCUUUUGGGCACCUGCCUAGGAGGUGUCAGAAACCAGCAGAGGCCAUGUGUGUGUGGUGGCCGCAGGGCUGGUCAUGCUCCAGGGGGUGGGAGGAGGCCUGGGAGGUGGGGCUGGUUUCUCAGAGACCCAGGACACUUGUUUCAAAAUCGGACGGAAAAAAAAAUGAACUUCUAAGACACAAAAGGUCACAUGCUGCAUGAUUCCAUUUAUAUGAAAUAUCCAGAAUAGGAAAAUCCUAAGAGACAGAAGGUAAAUUAGUGGUUGCCAGAGUCUGGGGAGAAGGGGAGAGUGGGCAGCGAUUGCUAAUGUGUUUGGGGUAUCUUGUUGGGGUGAUUAAAAUGUCCUGAAUUAGAUUGUGGUGAAGGUGGCACAAUCUUGAGACUAUACUAAAAACCACUGAAUUGUAUAUUUUAAAAUGGUCUACUUUAUGGCAUGUGGAUUAUAUCUCAAUAAAGCUAGUUGUUUUUGUUUUGUUUUGUUUUGUUUUUGUUUUGUUUUGUUUUAAAGACUAGGGAGUUAGGGACAGAAAAAGAAAAGGAGAGAAUCAAGAACAUUAGCAUAAUGUGUAAUCUUUAGCCAAAUAAAUAAGAAAUGUGUUAAAACAGAAAAAAAGCGAGAUGAGGUUAUACUAAACUAAAAUUAGAAAACAGGUUUCAUCUGGUGUAUUGACUCUGUUGGUGGCUUUUUGGAGUGCUGAGCUAGAGAGUUUUAAGGCUGCAUUUAGACUCAAAAAGAUCAAACAGUGUGAUCACUUAGUGAUGUCUGCUCGAGGCAC